rnacentral:lncRNA from 10 species
CCUUUUUUCAAUCCUCCCUGCAAUUGGCUACUUUUAGGAUCCUGCUGAUUGGUGUGUUUUACAGAGUGCUGAUUGGUGCGUUUUACAGAGCGCUGAUUGGUGCAUUUUAUAAUCCUCUUGCUAACUACAGAGCACUGAUUGGUGUGUUUUACAAUCCUCUUGUAAGACAGAAAAGUUCUCCAAGUCCCCACUCGACCCAGGAAGUCCAGCUGGCUUCGCCUCUCACUGGAAUUACAGUUACAGAGGCUGAGAAGUCCAAGAUCAAGGGACCACAUCCAGUGAGAGCCUUCUUGCUGGUGGGACUGAUAUGGUUUGACUGUUUUGUCCCCUAUACAUCUCGUUUCAUGUGACCUCUGAUGUUGGAGGUGGGCCUAGUAGGAGGUGUUUGGGUCAUAGGGGUGCAUCCCUCAUAAAUGGCUUGGUGUGUCCUCACAGUAAUGAGUGAAUUUCAAUCUGUGAGUUCACGUGAGAUCUGGUUGUUCAAGAGCCUGGCAGCUCCUCCCUCUCUCUCUUGCUCCUUCCCUUGCCAUGCCACACGCUGGCUCCCCCUUCAGCUUCUGCCACGAUUGUAAGCUUCUUGAGGCCUCACAGGAGCAGCUGUUGGUGCCAUGCUUCAUGUACAUCCUGCAGAACCAUGAACCAAAUAAAUCUUUUUUCUUUAUAAAUUACCCACCUUCAAGUAUUCCUUCAUAGCAACCCCAAAAUGGACUAACAGAGGGACUUUCUGUAGAGUUCCAAGGCAACAUGGGGUAUCACAUGGGGAGGAGAAUGAGCAUGCUAACAUGCUUGCACAGGUCUUUUUUCCUCUUCUUAUACAGUCACCAGUUCCCCUCCCAAAAUAACCCAUUAAUCCAUUUACCCACUAAUCCAUUAAUCUAUGAAUGGAUUAAUCCAUUCAUGAGGACAAAGCCCUCAUAAUCCAAUCACCUCUUAAAGGCCCCACCUCUUAAUAUUGCUACAUUGAGGACUAUAUUUCAACACAAGUUUUGAAGGAGACAAAUAUUCAAACCACAGCAAAUACAUUCUCCAAACCAUACACAGAUCUAUCAGCAAAGAGUGGGGACCUAACUGGCUUGAGAUGUUUGAACCAAACCUCUGACUAAUCUUUGGCUGACAAAAUAUGCUGAAACAAGAGUAAUUCUAGAAAGCCUCUCUUUAAAAAAUGUGAGUGCAGACAUUAGCAGCCUCACAUUGUAGUGGAGACAAAUUCCACAGAAUUAGUCCAGACAAGUGUAUCAUACAAACAGCAACCCCCUUUGGGGCAAAUCACAAUGUAGCAUUCCUAUAACAUAAUGUGUACAAUGCCAGUUUUUUUUUGUUUUUUUUUUUGAGACAGAGUCUCACUCUGUUGCCAGGCUGGAGUGCAGUGGUGCAAUCUCGGCUCACUGCAACCUCCGCCUCCUGGAUUCAAGCAAUUCUCCUGCCUCAGUCUCCUGAGUAGCUGGGAGUACAGGCGUGCUGGCGCCCGGCUAAUUUUUGUAUUUUUAGUAGAGAUAGGGUUUCACCAUGUUGGCCAGGAUGGUCUCUAUCUCUUGACCUCAUGAUCCGCCCGCCUCAGCCUCCCAAAGUGCUGGGAUUAUAGGCAUGAGCCACUGCACCUGGCCAGCAGUGUGUUCUUUACUUAGGAAACAAGUCAACAGAAAUCAUCUUUGAGUAAUCCCAAACAAUAGAUUUAGCAAAGACUAUUUUAAAUAUAUUUCAAAGAAAAGAGAUCACAUUUAAAUAAAGUAAUAAAUGAUUACAAGUAGGGUUUAUUACAGGCAUGCAUGGCUGUUUCAAUAUUUGAAAAUCAAUCAAUCUAAACUACCAUGUGGAUAGGCUAAGAAAAAUCACAUUUUGUUUUGUUUUUCUUCCCAAGAUGGUGGAUUGGAAACAGUGUCAGCAUGACUCUCCCACUUGGAAAGACAAAAUGGUGAGUAGAAAUUCAUACUGUGAACUUUUUUCUAAGAAGCAAUGCAGGAACUGAACAGAAAAACAGAAACCAUAGACCCUUUGAAAGAAGCAGCAGGCUGCAGCCUACACCCACUGUGAGCCAGGUGAAAAAUUGUAAGUCCUCAGAGUGUGACAGGGGGAGAGACUGCCUCCAGGAUAUACAUCCCCACCAGGUAACCUGGCAAUUCAGCCCACAGGGGAAGGCCUUAACCAUACCCAGCACUGGAACUAAUAUAGGGAGUGGUGGGGUAAUAUAAAAGUAGGAGCAGCAGCAAGCAGAGCCUUGCAUGCAUUCCUAGUCUCCAGCACAGACCGAGGGAAGCCACUCCUGAUUCUACGUCACAGAGGGCCUCACGGAAGUCAACUAGCUCAGGCAGAGGUUGCAGGUUGAAAGAAGCUCCCAACUGAAAUUCAUAUAAUCUUGAGUGGGGAUGAACUCCCUUGACCAGAACCAGUGGGUGAGUAAGAAGUGUGCUGCAGCCACAGGCACAGGAACCGGGCACUCUUGCUUUGCAGGUAGAUUGGGAGGGGGCAUGGCCUGAACACUGGUUCCUGUCUCCACAGGGAAGGCUUAUGGCCUAGGGCAGUUUUGAGUUCUGAGCUUACACGGCCUGGAAUUUAGCUAGCGGCUGCUAGUGAACACUAUAGGUGAGAGACCUGCCUUGCCAAGUGCAUGAGAGCUGGGUGAGGCUUGUGAACUCUUUUAUGUGGCAGAGGCAGCUAUGUUCCUUCCUGAAACAUUACCCCAGUGGCCAGAGAAAUGCCCCCUAAACCCCUCAGGAGCCUCUGCUUGCCCUGCACAUGGAGAGCCAAAGCAUGGACCUGCCUAACCCAGCCCCUACCUGGCUUUGCCCCUACACCAGCCCUGGUAGUUCACUACAAGGGACAGCAACUUUUGGGAGCCCUAUGGCCAUUGCCUGAGAAUCCAGAGUACCUCUCUGGGGUAACAUAAGGCAAUUAACAUAAAGCAAAGCAGUUAAUCCCACCACUUCUACUGUAGCUGGUGCUCUAUUGCAAGUACCACCUCCUGGCUGGAGGCCAACUGAUACAUUAUAGCAUCGUUGGGUAGAAUAACCCUGUGCCCAGGAAAGAGAAAACUUGUGCAUGACCUCAGCUAUCACCAUCGCCUGCACCACCCUGGCUAACCAGGAGGUCCUGAUCUGUCCACAUGACAGAUUCAUUGGUACUACAAGCAGCAUUUGAGACAGCCAAUACAUGAAGGCUAUUUACAACCAAGGAAUCUCACAGAGUCUACAUCACUCCCCUGUGACCCGCAUCAGAAGGGGUGUUGGUACUUGCUGCUGGGACAAUUAAGGACUGGUCACAUCACUGGAUCUCUUGCAGACACUCCCCAGCACCAGCCUGGAGUGUGGCAGCUCCACUAGGUGGCUAGACGCAGCAGAGCAGCAGCAUUCACAGUGGUCUGUUUCUUAGGGAAUCCUACUCCUAGGGGAAAACUUCCUAGGGGAAUUGGGUGUGCACCACAUCAAGGGAACACCCCAUGGAACAAAAAAAUCCAGAUGCAGGCCUUGAGUCCUGGAUCUUUCUGCUGAUGGAAAGUCUCUUUCAGCAGAGGCACAGUUACAAUACUGAGCUCAGCAGGGAAAGUCUGAAGCUCUACCCCAACACACAGGUAACCCUGGUGCUCAUGAAGGGUCUUGGAGAAGGGGACUUCUUUUUCCCCUUGUCCACCACUGCAGAAACAACUGGGGCUUUUCCAGUGGGAGCAUGUGUGGGUACACCAUAGAGAGCCUUGCUGGAAAACUUCAGGGUAACUGCAUCCCCACAGUAGAGAGCACCUUCUAUGUUCAGACUUGGAUGAGAGGUAGACUCACGAUUCCUCUCAACUUGGAACAUCAACGUUCCUGCAGACAAAAUGAGGUGCCUGUCUGAUCUGCAUAGCUGGAACACUGAGUCAGGAGUGUGUCUGGGAGGUGGACUGCUUCCCUGCGCCUUGCGGGGGAGCUGAUGUGGCUCCCAAUCUACCCCCUGAUAAGACCUCAGUGUGUUUCACUGAGAGCUCCACCUAUCACCUAUGUCAAGAUUGGGACUUCAGCCCGCCAUUGGGUACUGCAUUUACCUACUACAAUAACCACAACCAGUUUCUACCAGAGAUGUCUCCCCUACUGGCCUGAAGCCUAAAAUAUUCAACCCAGUAAAUAAAAUACAGGGAAAAUAAACAAAUAUAAGUGCACAACACAGGAGAACAAGGUAAGCUUCAAGAUACCUCUGCAAUUCCAACCCCAUUGGAGACAGUGAGCACAAUGCUACUACAACCAUUAUCUGAGAAAGCCAUCAAACAAAGACUUUCUAUAACCAAGGAAUUAAUAGUCUUCACCUCUGAAAGCACCAAGAGUCGAAAUAGGCUACAAUAAAGUCACAUCCUUAAGGGAGAAAAGAUAAAUAAAAAAAACCAACAAUUGAAUAAAAAAUAAAUUCAAGACUAAUUAGAAGAUAUAUUCUACCCAAAUGAGAGAGAGAAAAAAAACAGAAAAAUAAUUCUGGUAAUAUGAAAAAAACAGGAUUCUAUUACACCCCCAAAAGAUCACACUAGCUCUCCAGCAAUGGAUCCAAACCAAGAUGAAAUCUCUGAAAUGCCAGACAAAGAAUUAAAAAGAUUGAUUAUUAAGUUACUCAAGAAGAUACCAGAGAAAGGUGAAAGCCAAUAUAAAGAAAUUUUUUAAAACUUCAGGAUAUGAAUAAAAAAUUUUAUAAAGAAAUAGAUAUUUUAAAGAAAAGCCAAUCAGAACUUCUGGAAAUGAAAGACACAUUUAGGGAAGUACAAUAUGCAUGGAAAAGUUUUAACAAUAGACUAGAACAAGUAGAAUAAAUAGUUUCAGAGCUCAAAGAUAUAGUUUUCAAAUUAAUAAUCAGACAAAAAUAAAGAAAAAAAUCAAAAGAAGUGAAUAAAGUCUCCAAGAAAUAUGGGAUCAUGUAAAAUGGCCAAACCUAAGAAUAACUGGUGUUGCUGAGAGAGAAGACAGCAAACAGUUUGGAAAUUUUAUUCGAGGGAAUAAUUGAGGAAAACUUCUCUGGCCUUGCUAGAGAUAUAGAUAUCCAAAUACAAGAAGCUCAAAAAAUUCCUGGGAGAUUCAUCACAAAAAGGACUUCACCAAGGCAUAUAUAAUAAUCAGUCUAUCUAAAGUCAACAUGACAGAAAGAAUUCUGAGAGCAGUGAGACAAAUGCACCGGGUAACCUAUAAAGGAAAACCUAUCAGACUAACUGCAGGCUUCUCACCAGAAACUUUA